AUUGAACGCUGGCGGCAGGCCUAACACAUGCAAGUCGAACGAGUGGCGGACGGGUGAGUAAUGCCUGGGAAACUGCCCGAUGGAGGGGGAUAACUACCGGAAACGGUAGCUAAUACCGCAUACCAUCGGAUGUGCCCAGAUGGGAUUAGCUAGUAGGUGGGGUAACGGCUCCCCAAGGCGACGAUCCCUAGCUGGUCUGAGAGGAUGACCAGCCACACUGGAACCGGGACACGGCCCAAGCUCCUACGGGGGGCAGCAGUGGGGAAUCUUGCACAAUGGGCGCAAGCCUGAUGCAGCCAUGCCGCGUGUAUGAAGAAGGCUUUCGGGUUGUAAAGUACUUUCAGCGAGGAGGCGUUACUCGCAGAAGAAGCACCGGCUAACUCCGUGCCAGCAGCCGCGGUAAUAC
rnacentral:rRNA from 1 species